GAUGAAGAACGUAGCGAAAUGCGAUAAGUAAUGUGAAUUGCAGAAUUCAGUGAAUCAUCGAAUCUUUGAACGCACCUUGCGCCCUUUGGCUAUUCUGAAGGGCAUGCCUGUUUGAGUAUCGUGAACACCUCAACUCUCAUGGUCUGCCAUGACGAGCUUGGACUUUGGGGGUCUUGCUGGCCUACUGUCAGCUCCUCUCAAAUGAAUCAGCUUACCAGUGUUUGGUGGCACCACAGGUGUGAUAACUAUCUACGCUUGUGGUUUUCUGCCAGGUAACCUCCAGUGAUGGAGGUUCGCUGGAGCUCACAAAUGUCUCUCCUCAGCGAGGACAGCUUUUUGAACGUUUGAUCUCAAAUCAGGUAGGACUACCCGCUGAACUUAAGCAUAUCAAUAAGCGGAGGA
rnacentral:misc_RNA from 1 species